AGUGAACGCUGGCGGUAGGCCUAACACAUGCGAGUCGAACGGCAGCACAGUAAGAGCUUGCUCUUACGGGUGGCGAGUGGCGGACGGGUGAGGAAUACAUCGGAAUCUACUUUUUCGUGGGGGAUAACGUAGGGAAACUUACGCUAAUACCGCAUACGACCUACGGGUGAAAGCAGGGGAUCUUCGGACCUUGCGCGAUUGAAUGAGCCGAUGUCGGAUUAGCUAGUUGGCGGGGUAAAGGCCCACCAAGGCGACGAUCCGUAGCUGGUCUGAGAGGAUGAUAGGCCACACUGAAACUGGAAACCGGUCCAGACUCCUACGGGAGGCAGAAGUGGGGAAUAUUGGACAAUGGGCGCAAGCCUGAUCCAGCCAUACCGCGUGGGUGAAGAAGGCCUUCGGGUGGUAAAGCCCUUUGUUGGGAAAGAAAAGCAGCAGGUUAAUACCCCGCUGUUCUGACGGUACCCAAAGAAUAAGCACCGGCUAACUUCGUG
rnacentral:rRNA from 1 species